CCUGAGAGCCCAGGCAGCGAAGAAAAGGCUGGUGAUUGGUGAACCAGCUCAGUGGGCGAGGAGGAGGAGCAGGAGGAGAUGUCAUCUUCGAAGACAUCAGCCGACAGAGGGAAAGCAGCAGGAUCUGAGGACAUGGGAAUGCGUGCCGAUGCGUGUUGACUCACGGCUCUCCAGGGGCAGUGUGUGUUCGUGCUGUUGCUCCGCUGGUCCAGGCGGUCGCUGGAUCCUCUCAGUGAGGUCCUGCGCCUGACGAGCCUUCUUCUGCCGCUAGCCCUGCAGAGGGGCAACUCAGGUGAACUUGUGCAUCAACAAAGCACUUUGAGCCUUCAACCCAUCCCUCAGAGUUACAGCACCGAGGAUCUCAGGCGCUCUUUUGUGUCGGCAGGCAUCAGAAUGCAACUUGUGCAACCUGCUUCAGCCUCAGACAAAGAGGAGGGAACUGAAGCAAGAAGCUCUGCCUGUCGAACUACCUCAGAUUUUUUGUUUGCUUGCUGCAAAGAUCUGGAUAAAUGAUCUGUUUUUUUGAACUGUUUGUUAAUACCUUUACCUCAGGAUGAUGCCUACAUUUAAAGGAAAAGUUCACCCAAAAAUAAACAACCAAAGUAGACUGGGAACAACUGA